rnacentral:rRNA from 1 species
UGUGAUGGGGAGCGAAAUUUAGUAGCGAAGUAGCUGAUUUCACACUGUCAAGAAAAGUCUCUAUCGAGGUUAAAGGUACCCGUACCGCAAACCGACACAGGUGGGUGAGGAGAGUAUCCUAAGGCCAGCGAGAGAACUGUUGUUAAGGAACUCGGCAAAAUGACCCCGUAACUUAGGGAUAAGGGGUGCCACCAUCAGGUGGCCGCAGAGAAUAGGCCCAAGCGACUGUUUACCAAAAACAUAGGUUUCUGCUAAGUCGCAAGACGAUGUAUAGGAGCUGACGCCUGCCCGGUGCGGUUAAGGGGAUCUGUUAGAGCAAUCGAAGCAGUGAACUUAAGCCCCAGUAAACGGCGGCCGUAACUAUAACGGUCCUAAGGUAGCGAAAUUCCUUGUCGGGUAAGUUCCGACCCGCACGAAAGGCGUAACGAUUUGGGCACUGUCUCAACAACAGACUCGGUGAAAUUGUAAUUCCGGUGAAGAUGCCGGAUACCUGCGACAGGACGGAAAGACCCCAUGGAGCUUUACUGUAGCUUGACAUUGGGUCUUGGUACUACAUGUACAGGAUAGGUGGGAGGCUUUGAAACCAGGACGCCAGUUUUGGCGGAGCCAUCCUUGGGAUACCACCCUUGUAGUACUGGGACUCUAACCAUAGGCCAUGAAUCUGGUCUUGGGACACUGUCAGGUGGGCAGUUUGACUGGGGCGGUCGCCUCCCAAAAGGUAACGGAGGCGCUCAAAGGUUCUCUCAGUACGGUCGGAAAUCGUACGUAGAGUGUAAAGGCAAAAGAGAGCUUGAUUGCAAGACAUACAGGUCGAGCAAGGAUGAAAAUCGGACUUAGUGAUCCGGUGGUUCUGCGUGGAAGGGCCAUCGCUCAACGGAUAAAAGCUACCCUGGGGAUAACAGGCUUAUCUCCCCCAAGAGUCCACAUCGACGGGGAGGUUUGGCACCUCGAUGUCGGCUCAUCACAUCCUGGGGCUGUAGUAGGUCCCAAGGGUUGGGCUGUUCGCCCAUUAAAGUGGUACGCGAGCUGGGUUCAGAACGUCGUGAGACAGUUCGGUCCCUAUCCGUCGCAGGCGUAGGAAAUUUGAGAAGACCUGUCCUUAGUACGAGAGGACCGGGAUGGACGUACCUCUGGUGUACCAGUUGUCCUGCCAAGGGCAUGGCUGGGUAGCUAUGUACGGAAUGGAUAAGCGCUGAAAGCAUCUAAGCGCGAAGCCAACUUCAAGAUAAGAUUUCCCACCGCAAGGGUAAGACCCCAGAAAGACUAUCUGGUUGAUAGGUCGAAGGUGUAAGUGCAGCAAUGUAUUUAGCUUAUCGAUACUAAUAGGUCGAGGACUUGACCAA